rnacentral:lncRNA from 1 species
UUCAGUGCAAGAGUUCACAGCCGCAGAUGCCUCACACACCAUAGAAAGACUGGACUUUCUUAGGAAAUUUGGCUGAAUGGGAGAAAUUCGGGCAGAAGAUUUAAAUCUGCCAAAAGCAUCUGUUUUUCUUGUUUCAUCAGAGAGAGACAUGGUGAACACUCUGUCAGUGACAGCGUAGUGAUUCUGCUGCUUCCAGCAUGUUGUGAUGGAAAGGUGACCCAGAUGAGCAAAGAGUAUGACAAAAAGAUUUCCUUUCAUCUGUAUAAAUACUUCAGGAUUGCUUUGCGUAGAAGGAAGACAACAGUUGCAGGUGGAAAGCUUAGUGCUGUCAUUAUCACCACAAGGGAUGGGAGUCAUGAGCUGAAAUGCAUGUGGCUGCAGUCAUCUCAGAUAUUCACCAGUAUCCUGCCCAAGUCUGGAAGGCCAUUUGUGCUACCUGGCAGAAUUGAAGAUGAUGGAAAAUGA